AUUGAACGCUAGCGGGAUGCUUUACACAUGCAAGUCGAACGGCGUGGCGGAAGGGUUAGUAAUGAAUGGGAACGUGACCAGUAGAGAGGGAUAACAAAUCGAAACAGAGGCUAAUAACGCAUACUAUUGGCGCGGCCGAUAUGGGAUUAGCUAGUUGGUGGGGUAAAGGCUCACCAAGGCAACGAUCCGUAGCUGGUUUGCGAGGACGACCAGCCACACGGGUACUGAGACACGGCCCAGACUCCUACGGGAGGCAGCAGUGGGGAAUUUUGGACAAUGGGGGAAACCCUGAUCCAGCCAUCCCGCGUGUAUGAUGAAGGCCUUCGGGUUGUAAAGUACUUUUGGCAGAGAAGCGGUAUCUGCAGAAUAAGCACCGGCUAACUACGUGCCAGCAGCCGCGGUAAUAC
rnacentral:rRNA from 1 species